rnacentral:rRNA from 1 species
GAUGAACGCUGGCGGCGUGCCUAAUACAUGCAAGUCGAGCGAACAGACGAGGAGCUUGCUCCUCUGUCGUUAGCGGCGGACGGGUGAGUAACACGUGGAUAACCUACCUAUAAGACUGGGAUAACUUCGGGAAACCGGAGCUAAUACCGGAUAAUAUAUUGAACCGCAUGGUUCAAUAGUGAAUGACGGUUUUGCUGUCACUUAUAGAUGGUUCUGCGCGGCAUUAGAUAGUUGGUAAGGUAACGGCUUACCAAGGCAACCAUGCGUAGCCGACCUGAGAGGGUGAUAGGCCACACGGGAACUUAGACACGGUCCAGACUACUACGGGAGGCAGCAGUAGGGAAUCUUCCGCAGUGGGCGAAAGCCUGACGGAGCAACGCCGCGUGAGUGAUGAAGGUCUUCGGAUCGUAAAGCUCUGUUAUUAGGGAAGAACAAAUGUGGACGUAACUAUGCACGUCUUGACGGUACCUAAUCAGAAAGCCACGGCUAACUACGUG